rnacentral:rRNA from 1 species
UACAGAGGGGGCAAGCGUUGUUCGGAAUUACUGGGCGUAAAGGGCGCGUAGGCGGCCGCCUAAGUCAGACGUGAAAUCCCUCGGCUCAACCGGGGAACUGCGUCUGAUACUGGUUGGCUUGAGUUUGGGAGAGGGAUGCGGAAUUCCAGGUGUAGCGGUGAAAUGCGUAGAUAUCUGGAGGAACACCGGUGGCGAAGGCGGCAUCCUGGACCAACACUGACGCUGAGGAGCGAAAGCCAGGGGAGCAAACGGG